rnacentral:pre_miRNA from 1 species
AGUGGCAUAGCUGGGUCAAAUGUUGGUUCCACUCAAAGUUUUCUGAGGAAUCUCCAUACUGCUUUCCAGAUUGGUUAUACCAAUUUGCAGUCCCACCAGCAAU